AUCUAGUGGCGCACGGGUGCGUAACGCGUGGGAAUCUGCCCUUGGGUUCGGAAUAACUUCUGGAAACGGAAGCUAAUACCGGAUGAUGACGUAAGUCCAAAGAUUUAUCGCCCAAGGAUGAGCCCGCGUAGGAUUAGCUAGUUGGUGGGGUAAAGGCCCACCAAGGCGACGAUCCUUAGCUGGUCUGAGAGGAUGAUCAGCCACACUGGGACUGAGACACGGCCCAGACUCCUACGGGAGGCAGCAGUAGGGAAUAUUGGACAAUGGGCGAAAGCCUGAUCCAGCAAUGCCGCGUGAGUGAUGAAGGCCUUAGGGUUGUAAAGCUCUUUUACCCGGGAUGAUAAUGACAGUACCGGGAGAAUAAGCUCCGGCUAACUCCGUGCCAGCAGCCGCGGUAAUACGGAGGGAGCUAGCGUUGUUCGGAAUUACUGGGCGUAAAGCGCACGUAGGCGGCUAUUCAAGUCAGAGGUGAAAGCCCGGGGCUCAACCCCGGAACUGCCUUUGAAACUAGAUAGCUUGAAUCCAGGAGAGGUGAGUGGAAUUCCGAGUGUAGAGGUGAAAUUCGUAGAUAUUCGGAAGAACACCAGUGGCGAAGGCGGCUCACUGGACUGGUAUUGACGCUGAGGUGCG
rnacentral:rRNA from 1 species